rnacentral:sRNA from 1 species
AUGAUUGUGAAUCGUUGCCUUCUGUGCUGGCUUCGGCAUGUGCACGUUGGUGACUUUCAUCCAAACACCCAUGUGAACCUUCGCCUCUUGCUUGGCUUCGGCUGGCAGAGGAUUUUUACACUACUCGAAUGUAAUGAAAUUAUUGUUGUGCGUAAGCACCCUAAUGUACAACUUUCAACAACGGAUCUCUUGGCUCUCGCAUCGAUGAAGAACGCAGCGAAAUGCGAUAAGUAAUGUGAAUUGCAGAAUUCAGUGAAUCAUCGAAUCUUUGAACGCACCUUGCACCCUUUGGCAUUCCGAAGGGUAUGCUCGUUUGAGUGUCAUUGUAUCCUCACACUUCCAAUCUUUGGUUUGGGAGCGGUGGACUUGGGUGUUGCCGCUUUAUCGUGGCUCACCUCAAAUUCAUUAGUGCACCUCUUGGUUGGACAUUAGUACGGCGUGAUAAGUAUCUUCGCCGGCACCUCACUUGCAAAGAGAGAGGGUGGCUGAUCAGGAGCUCUGUGCUUCAAACCGUCUUUGGACAAUGACUGACAA